rnacentral:rRNA from 1 species
UACGUAGGGUGCGAGCGUUAAUCGGAAUUACUGGGCGUAAAGUGUGCGCAGGCGGUUGUGCAAGACCGAUGUGAAAUCCCCGGGCUUAACCUGGGAAUGGCAUUGGUGACUGCACGGCUAGAGUGUGUCAGAGGGGGGUAGAAUUCCACGUGUAGCAGUGAAAUGCGUAGAGAUGUGGAGGAAUACCGAUGGCGAAGGCAGCCCCCUGGGAUAACACUGACGCUCAUGCACGAAAGCGUGGGGAGCAAACAGG